rnacentral:tRNA from 1 species
GGGGCUGUAGCUUAGUGGUAAAGUGCUUGCCUUGCAUAUAUGAGGCACUGGGUUCAAUCCUCGGCACCA